GACGAACGCUGGCGGCGUGCCUAAUACAUGCAAGUCGAACGCAGUGGGGACGGGUGAGUAACACGUGGGUAACCUCCCAUCAGAGGGGAUAACACUUGGAAAAAGGUGCUAAACCGAUACUGAUGGAUGGACCCGCGGUGCAUUAGCUAGUUGGUGAGGUAACGGCUCACCAAGGCUACGAUGCAUAGGUGAUCUGAGAGGAUGACCGGCCACACUGGGACUGAGACACGGCCCAGACUCCUACGGUAGGCAGCAGUGGGGAAUCUUCGGCAAUGGACGAAAGUCUGACCCAGCAACCCCGCGUGAGUGAAGAAGGUUUUCGGUGUGUAAAGUUCUUUUGUCAGAGAAGCGGUACCUAACCAGAAAGCCACGGCUAACUACGUGCCAGCCGCCGCGGUAAUAC
rnacentral:rRNA from 1 species